rnacentral:rRNA from 1 species
CUCAUUAUAUAAGUUAUCGUUUAUUUGAUAGCACCUUACUACUUGGAUAACCGUGGUAAUUCUAGAGCUAAUACAUGCUGAAAACCCCGACUUCGGAAGGGGUGUAUUUAUUAGAUUAAAAACCAAUGCCCUCUGGGCUCUCUGGUGAUUCAUGAUAACUCUUCGAAUCGCACGGCCUUGCGCCGGCGAUGGUUCAUUCAAAUUUCUUCCCUAUCAGCUUUCGAUGUUUGGGUAGUGGCCAAACAUGGCUGCAACGGGUAACGGAGGGUUAGGGCUCGACCCCGGAGAAGGAGCCUGAGAAACGGCUACUACAUCCAAGGAAGGCAGCAGGCGCGCAAAUUACCCAAUCCCGACACGGGGAGGUAGUGACAAUAAAUACUGAUACAGGGCUCUUUUGGGUCUUGUAAUUGGAAUGAGUACAAUUUAAAUCCCUUAACGAGGAACAAUUGGAGGGCAAGUCUGGUGCCAGCAGCCGCGGUAAUUCCAGCUCCAAUAGCGUAUAUUAAAGUUGUUGUGGUUAAAAAGCUCGUAGUUGAACCUUGGGCCUGGCUGGCCGGUCCGCCUCACCGCGUGCACUGGUCCGGCCGGGCCUUUCCCUCCGCGGAACCCCAUGCCCUUCACUGGGCGUGGCGGGGAAACGGGACUUUUACUUUGAAAAAAUUAGAGUGCUCCAGGCAGGCCUAUGCUCGAAUACAUUAGCAUGGAAUAAUGAAAUAGGACGCGCGGUUCUAUUUUGUUGGUUUCUAGGACCGCCGUAAUGAUUAAUAGGGACAGUCGGGGGCAUCAGUAUUCAAUUGUCAGAGGUGAAAUUCUUGGAUCAAUUGAAGACUAACUACUGCGAAAGCAUUUGCCAAGGAUGUUUUCAUUAAUCAGGAACGAAAGUUAGGGGAUCGAAGACGAUCAGAUACCGUCGUAGUCUUAACCAUAAACUAUGCCGACUAGGGAUCGGACGAUGUUAUUACUUGACUCGUUC